UCGUCAUGGCCGGAGCGUAAUCCUAAUGCAAUCAAUUGCCGUUACACAUUGAUUAACAGAGAGACCUCCAAAUUUUGUGGUUGCCUUCAGCAGAUUUUAAAUAAGGAAGAAAGUGGAAGGACUAUAGCAGAAAAGACAAACGAUGCACACAUUCUGUUCAAGGAAAUGGAUGUUAAAAAAAAACGGCCUUUCACAUUGAUGCAUUGCUAUAUAGAGUUUGCAAAGUAUCCAAAGUGGCAGACAAGAGAACUUGAAACUUCUCUUAAGAAACAAAAGAAAACCAUUGAUGAAAGUCCAGGCAGAGCCACCAAUGAUCCGUCAGAUGCAUCCUCGGUACGCACUGAUGCAACCUCGAUACACACUGAUGCUCUUGAACAUGAGAAAAGACCUGAUGGUGUUAAGAAGGACAAGAGAGGUAAAGCUGAUGAGAAUGCUUGCAAGCUGUCAUUAGAAACUGUGUGGGCAGCAAAGCAAGAGAAGGAUGAGAUCAAAGAAGCGGCAAGAAAUGCUCGCUAUGCACAGCAAUUUGAAUUGCGAAAAGAGGAGAUUGCACUCAGAAAGAAGGAGGAUGCACGAAACGAGAGGGAGGAUGCACGGAGACAGUUUGAAUUAGAUGAGAGGGUCAUGCUGAUCGACACUAGUGGUAUGACUGAUGUGCAAAAGCAGUUCUACCAAGCUAAGCAGAAUGAGAUCCUUGCUCGAGGCCUAGAGUAA
rnacentral:rRNA from 1 species